rnacentral:rRNA from 1 species
UACGGGGGGGGCGAGCGUUGUUCGGAAUUACUGGGCGUAAAGGGUUUGUAGGUGGCCUGCUAAGUCAGACGUGAAAUCCCUCAGCUUAACUGGGGAACUGCCUCUGAUACUGGUCAUCUUGAGGGAGGUAGGGGCGUGCGGAACUUCCGGUGGAGCGGUGAAAUGCGUAGAUAUCGGAAGGAACACCGGUGGCGAAAGCGGCGCGCUGGACCUCUUCUGACGCUGAGGCGCGAAAGCCAGGGGAGCAAACGGG